ACGUAUAUUCACUCAAUAAAAUUAUCUGGGGAAUUUUCUAAUAAAGAAAAUGUGGAAAAGACGGGCGAUAAACAAAACUCCAUUUAAGCUUUCUAAUAUUGUAACACUAGAGGUUUGCUAAUCCAGAGUUUACUAACCAUUUUCAAACUUGUUAAACCUCUGUAAACUAUAACGAAUCCUAUUUUUUUCUUGUGCCAAAACACACACUAGAAUACCGCAUAAACUAGGGUUUUAUCGUAAGCAAAGUUAGGGUGUUCAAUCUUGGCCGAGAUUAGGGUUUCUCCUUAGCCCUAAAACCUUAAUUUAACCGUACAAAUAAUGAAUAACCCUAAUCUCAACGUACGAACGGACUAGGUCCUCACACUUGGUGGUCUUACCACUCUACGUGGCUUGCUACUUGAAGUAGCCUAAAUUCAUACGAAGUGUGUGUAGUAUACUCGUCUGAUUUGAUGAAGGUUCAAUUUUCAUCGGUUUCUUAAUAGGUCCAAUUAGAUCCUCCUUCUUAGAAUAAGCUAAAGUAGAAGUAAAGUAGACAAGUCACGAUUGACCGGUAAAAAAAAAAAAAAAAAAAAA
rnacentral:lncRNA from 1 species